rnacentral:pre_miRNA from 1 species
AAUGUGAUUGCUGGAUCAUAUGGUAAAAGUAGUCUCAUUUUGUAAGAAACUGUCAAAAUGUUUUCCAAGUAUAAUCUUGCAUUUCCAUUAGCAAU